rnacentral:tRNA from 1 species
GGGAUUAUAGCUCAGUGGUGGUGUACGUGCCUGGCAUGCAUGAGGUCCUGGGUUCAAUCCCCAGUACCUCCA